GACCCGGGCAACAUCGUCAAACUGCGGGAAAGCCCUGCCACGACUCUCGGGACCUCACCGCCCCAGUAAUGGAAGCGGGUGCCUGCGGCUAACGGCCGCGGGUACGGUAAAGCACCGAAGUCUAGGGGCGAUCCGCCGCCAAACCCUCCCCGCACCGGGAGGGCCCAGCUCACAGGCCAGACGGCGAUGGGCGCUCUCGCGCUUAAGAUAUGGUCGAGUGACCCGCCGAGAGGCGGGUGCAACUCAGGAACGUCCGUAGGUGAACCUGCGGAAGGAUCAUU
rnacentral:rRNA from 1 species